GGGGGUGUGGCUCAAUGGUACAGCACUGGCUUUGCAUGCAGAAAGUCCCAGGUUCGAUCCCAGGCAUCUUCA
rnacentral:tRNA from 1 species